GACGAACGCUGGCGGCGUGCUUUACACAUGCAAGUCGAACGGUGAAGGUGGAGCUUGCUCCGCCGGAUCAGUGGCGAACGGGUGAGUAACACGUGGGCAACCUGCCCCUAACUUUGGGAUAACUACUCGAAAGAGUAGCUAAUACCGGAUAUGAAGUCUGUAGGCAUCUAUGGAUUUGGGAAGUUUUUCGGUUAGGGAUGGGCCCGCGGCCUAUCAGCUUGUUGGUGAGGUAGUGGCUCACCAAGGCGACGACGGGUAGCCGGCCUGAGAGGGCGACCGGCCACACUGGGACUGAGACACGGCCCAGACUCCUACGGGAGGCUGCAGUGGGGAAUUUUGGACAAUGGGGGAAACCCUGAUCCAGCCAUGCCGCGUGAGCGAAGAAGGCCUUCGGGUUGUAAAGCUCUUUCGGCCGGGAAGAAAUCGCACAGGCUAAUACUCUGUGUGGAUGACGGUACCGGCAUAAGAAGCACCGGCUAAC
rnacentral:rRNA from 1 species